UGGAGAUACUCAAAUGUGUGCAAGAGGCUCAAUGAGUGUGAAGGAAUCAACCCCAAACUGUUGUGCUCUCACAAAACCCUAAACUUGGAUGAAGAGGUUAUGCAAAAAUGAUGGAGAAAGGAUUUUUAGGAAGAAGGGUGAAGGGAAAAGUGAGGAGAGUGCUUGGGAGAGUGAUUGAGAGUGCUUGGGAAGAAUGGAGAAUGAAAGUGGCGGCCAAAACGUGCCCUAGGGUUUAAAAGGUGCUUAAUGGGCCAACCCACGCUGAGCCCAAAGUUUUAAAAACCAGAAACCCAUUCUGCAGUAACGCUGCUCAACGCCAGGUUACAGUUGAGCGGUAAUCGUGGCCUCAAUUAUCCUUCUUCCUAGCUUACUCUAAGUGCUCUUGACCAAGGCCCCUCAAUUUUAACUCUCAAAUUUUCGAAUCUCAUGC
rnacentral:lncRNA from 1 species